rnacentral:rRNA from 1 species
UACGGAGGGGGCAAGCGUUGUUCGGAAUUAUUGGGCGUAAAGGGCACGUAGGUGGAUUAGUAAGUUAAAAGUGAAAUACCAAGGCUUAACYUUGGAGCGGCUUUUAAUACUGCUAGACUAGAGKYCGRAAGAGGAUAGCGGAAUUCCUAGUGUAGAGGUGAAAUUCGUAGAUAUUAGGAGGAACACCAGUGGCGAAAGCGGCUAUCUGGUYCGAUACUGACACUGAGGUGCGAAAGCGUGGGGAGCAAACAGGAUUA